UAGGUUAAAGUUUUCGGUCAUAAGUUUAGGUUUAGGUUAAGGUUAUAGGUUUAGGCUUAGGUUUUAGGUCAUAGGUUUUGGUUUAGGAUAAGGUUAUAGGUUUAGACUAAGGUUUUAGGUCGAAUGUUUUGGUUUAGGUGAAGGUUAUAGGUUUAGGUUAAGGUUUAGGUUUAGG